CCUACGGGAGGCAGCAGUAGGUAAUCUUCCGCAAUGGGCGAAAGCCUGAUGCAGCCAUGCCGCGUGAGUGAUGAAGGCCUUAGGGUUGUAAAGCUCUUUUACCCGGGAUGAUAAUGACGGUACCGCAAGAAUAAGCCCCGGCUAACUUCGUGCCAGCAGCCGCGGU
rnacentral:rRNA from 1 species